CCUACGGGAGGCAGCAGUGAGGAAUAUUGGUCAAUGGACGAGAGUCUGAACCAGCCAAGUAGCGUGAAGGAUGACUGCCCUAUGGGUUGUAAACUUCUUUUAUAUGGGAAUAAAAUGUUCCACGUGUGGGAUUUUGUAUGUACCAUAUGAAUAAGGAUCGGCUGACUCCGUGCCAGCAGCCGCGGUAAUACGGAGGAUCCGAGCGUUAUCCGGAUUUAUUGGGUUUAAAGGGAGCGUAGGUGGAUUGUUAAGUCAGUUGUGAAAGUUUGCGGCUCAACCGUAAAAUUGCAGUUGAAACUGGCAGUCUUGAGUACAGUAGAGGUGUGCGGAAUUCGUGGUGUAGCGGUGAAAUGCUUAGAUAUCACGAAGAACUCCGAUUGCGAAGGCAGUUCACUGGACUGCAACUGACACUGAGGCUCGAAAGUGUGGGUAUCAAACAGGAUUAGAUACCCGUGUAGUC
rnacentral:rRNA from 1 species